GAUGAACGCUGGCGGCGUGCCUAAUACAUGCAAGUCGAGCGAACGGACGAGAAGCUUGCUUCUCUGAUGUUAGCGGCGGACGGGUGAGUAACACGUGGAUAACCUACCUAUAAGACUGGGAUAACUUCGGGAAACCGGAGCUAAUACCGGAUAAUAUUUUGAACCGCAUGGUUCAAAAGUGAAAGACGGUCUUGCUGUCACUUAUAGAUGGAUCCGCGCUGCAUUAGCUAGUUGGUAAGGUAACGGCUUACCAAGGCAGCGAUGCAUAGCCGACCUGAGAGGGUGAUCGGCCACACUGGAACUGAGACACGGUCCAGACUCCUACGGGAGGCAGCAGUAGGGAAUCUUCCGCAAUGGGCGAAAGCCUGACGGAGCAACGCCGCGUGAGUGAUGAAGGUCUUCGGAUCGUAAAACUCUGUUAUUAGGGAAGAACAUAUGUGUAAGUAACUGUGCACAGCUUGACGGUACCUAAUCAGAAAGCCACGGCUAACUACGUG
rnacentral:rRNA from 1 species